GCGAUGCGCGCUACCAUGCAGUCGAGCGAACCUUCGGGUUAGCGGCGGACGGGUGAGUAACGCGUGGGAACGUACCCUCUUCUGCGGGAUAGCCACUGGAAACGGUGAGUAAUACCGCAUACGCCCUUCGGGGGAAAGAUUUAUCGGAGGAGGAUCGGCCCGCGUUGGAUUAGGUAGUUGGUGGGGUAAUGGCCUACCAAGCCUACGAUCCAUAGCUGGUUUUAGAGGAUGAUCAGCCACACUGGGACUGAGACACGGCCCAGACUCCUACGGGAGGCAGCAGUGGGGAAUCUUAGACAAUGGGCGCAAGCCUGAUCUAGCCAUGCCGCGUGAGUGACGAAGGCCUUAGGGUCGUAAAGCUCUUUCGCCAGAGAUGAUAAUGACAGUAUCUGGUAAAGAAACCCCGGCUAACUCCGUGCCAGCAGCCGCGGUAAUACGGAGGGGGUUAGCGUUGUUCGGAAUUACUGGGCGUAAAGCGCACGUAGGCGGAUUGGAAAGUUGGGGGUGAAAUCCCAGGGCUCAACCCUGGAACUGCCUCCAAAACUCCCAGUCUGGAGUUCGAGAGAGGUGAGUGGAAUUCCGAGUGUAGAGGUGAAAUUCGUAGAUAUUCGGAGGAACACCAGUGGCGAAGGCGGCUCACUGGCUCGAUACUGACGCUGA
rnacentral:rRNA from 1 species